AUGAGAACUCCACCAAGGGCUGCACAAGUCCUUACCCAGCCCUCGCUCAGACACCCCAGAGCAGCCUGCGGAGCUGCUCACGCACGGGUGGCUCGGUGCUGCCUGGUGGGGCUGUGCCACCCCCGAGCAGCCGCAUCCCUCACCACGGGGCAGAGCGUGCCUGCAAGCCCCCCGGGCACCCCAAGGGUUCCAGGUUCCGCUAACCUUGAGAUUUCUGCAAACACCCCACUGCACAAAGGCACCUCCGGCACUGUGCUGCCUGCCACGAGCACGAGGAGCGAGUGCAGGCGGACACGGGCACCCCCGUGGUGUGCUGCCCGGUGCCGCAGGGAGCACGCCAGGAGCUGGGGCAGAGCCUCGUGGCACUGCUGGUGGCAGCACGUGUGUGUGUCCCAGCCCGGAGUGGCGCUCAUCGGCAUGAAGACAUGGACAUUGCCCAUUUUGAGCUCUUUCUUCACUGCACUUUUCUUUCUCAUGUUUUCCUCUUUGCGAAGGCUUUUCAUUGUCCUAAGCAGCACAGCAAAUUUUAACAGGAAGAGAGUCUCCUCUGCCAGGAAAUGACACUGUCGUGCUGGAAUUUACAAUGAAGCUGUGAAUGUAGCUGGAGCCCUGGGCUUUGCCGGGAGAAGGCCCCUUUGGCUGGCUGUAUUCAGCUCUAAUGAGAGCGCCGAAUUCUCCCUGAAAGCCGUGCUUUCCAUUUGGCCCCUUGCUCCAUCAAUUGCUGUCACCCUGAACAGAAGGCCCUGCGUGCCGCUUCCCCUCACCGUGCGCCUCGCGGCGCCGCGCUCCGCAGAGGACAGCCCGGCCUCCUGGGGCGCAGCUCUGGGCUCACAAUAGCGCUUUGUUGGCCAGAACACUGACCUCGCAGUUUCCCAGGCUUUCCCUUUCUCCUCUCCCGCUGGAAGCCCCCAGCGAUGCGGAGCAGCGUGGCUGGGCACUGAACAAAGGGGUGAAGGCUCAGGGAGCCCUGAGCACCGGGGCCCGGCUGUGGGUGCCUGCGGGGCUGCUGUGGGGCCGUGGGGCCGCUGCCGGCCAGGCCUCCAGCCACGGCCAUCCCCGCAGCGCUGCCCAGGGUGGCUGGCGAAGCUGGAGCGAGGGAUGACGGGGUGGUUAGAAAAAAAGACAAACGUAGGGCAGCCCCUGUUUCUGUGCACUGCUGGCAGUGCUGCCAAGCACAGUGCUGCGCUGUGCUCCCAGCGGGUUCGGGCGCAGGGAGCGGGAGCGUGGCACCGCGCGGCCCCACCAGCUGCAGGGGGCUGCUCCCGCUGGAGGGGCGCUGGGGGCAGCCUCACCCCGUGGCUGCGGGGGGCACAGGGCUGCGGGAGGCUGUGCUGUACGUUAUGGAUCCCAAGGCGCUUCAAAAUACAAUAGUAAGUUUGCAUUCCAGAUGGAAAGAUAGAGGUGAUGUGGGACUAAAUGAAUUGCAGUCAAUAAACAGCAGUGACCCAGCUGGCA
rnacentral:lncRNA from 1 species